AGGUUGGAGUCUGCCUGUUUCAUUCCUCCAGGACUUUCUUACUGUGAAGAGUGUAGAUGAGAACAGUGUUUUUCCUCUCAGAAUUGCUUCAAGUUGUUUGCCUAACCUAGACAUCUUAAGUGUAUCUAAGUAGUUAAAUGAUUUUCAUUGAUAGUAAUGUUCUACUGAUAUUUAAGUUGCUUGUUGGCCCAAACCAGAAUUAGUUUUAGAGAAGACUGUAGUGAGCUCUGACAUCUGGAAAAAGUUAAACUGUAGCCUGGAUGCAGUUUAGUUCUUUACCUUCUGGGACAAACCUCUUGCUUUGAUCUGGGUUGGAAAUCUCUAAAUCAGUUCUGGAUGUGCGUGUGGAAAGAAGGUUAUAAGAGAAAAUGGAGGAGGAUCUCACUGUUUCCAUUGCAUUUUUCUGAACUCUGCCCAGUUGGAAGGAAAGCACCUAUCUAAUGUCAGUAUAAAGACUGAGGCGGCUUGUCAGUGCAAGGUAGAAGUUCCACCUUAAAAUGUGUACCCAUGUCCUGUAGGCAGGUAGUUUGUUCAUAAAAUGGUUGACAGGAAAACUGAGGAGAGAUUUGUGCUGGCUUAUGGUAUCCCACACACAGCAAGAAAGUGCUUUCCAAAGAAGGAACUAGCCUUUCUCUGAGCAAGAGAAGGGUAAAUGUUACACUCCUGUCUGUUUUGCUUCAGAGAUUGUAAAAAGCAUUGGCCUUCCUUGCAUGCCUCUCAUCAGGAAUGGAAAUAGGCAGGCCAUCUGAGGGAGUGGUCUUGUUUACAUGGAAACUCUUUUACGUAAGAAGAGGAGGCUGGUCCAGCAAAGGUGUGGUUUUAUUUACAUCCAUGCUCUUCCCUUAUGAUUGGAGGGUGUUUGGAAGGUGUGGUCUCAUUUACAUCCUGCCUAGGCUGCCUUUGGCUCAUCUGGAUUCAACCCUUGACUGUGGCUGGAAAAGGCACGAAUUGCUGCAAGCAGAAUAAAAACUACUAUGUGAAAAAACGUGACUGGUUUCUGCCUCUGUUUCUUCAGUGUAUGCAUUGCUGCUGGGAAGGAAAGUUGAUGCCCUCCUCAAAGCAGCAAUGGAACUGUAUGAACCUGAGGUGUGUAAAUGCUGGAACGAAGAGGCAGGAAAGGACUGCCUGCUAAUAAAAGGGGGAUGAGUGUCCAGGAAAGCAAGUGAUGACAUGGGUGUGUGGGACUGAUGGCAGAGCUCUGCCCACAGCGUCUGAAGUGGCCAAAGACUACUCCAGCUUGCGGGAAUUCUCCAGCAGUGAAUCCUUUUGUCUGGCAUACGUUCACUUUGUUUAAUGCAAGAUUGAUGAAACAAACCAGACAAUUUGGCCUUCAGAUGCUAUAAUUGUGAACAAACUGUCCAGAACAAAGAUAUUUUCAUGACACAAACCUCACAAUCCUCUCUGACUUUUGAUUUUCCUUUCCCCAUGUUGAAUCCAUUAAUUUAGAUAUUUUGAACCGUGAUUUAAGGAAGGCCUUAACUCUGUGGGUACUGACUUCUACCAGUUCGUACAAUCACUCCAUGGGUGGGAUUUUAGAAAAUACUCUGAGGUGGCCUGCAGGAGAAUCCCAUUUUCCUUGUCUAAUUCAGUGGGUACAGGGUGGAAUUUUCUUUUCGACACUCUCUUACAUUGAUGAAGCAGUCCAGGCUGUAACAGAUAACUGAUGUCACUGCAGUUUAGAAAGUACGCAUUUAAAUGAAACUGUAAUACAGCCUUCUUACAGAUUGUAAAACUGGACAGCCUGCAACCAUCUGGCACUCCACCUCUGAAAGAACAUCAGUAGAGACAAUGGUGUUCUUUCUGUAAGAGUGCCACCAUUUAGAUGCAGCCAUCACAGAAAACCCCUUCUUAAGUCAAGCUUUAUUCAACUUUCAAAGCACAUGUGAAAAAUAAAUGUUAUUUCCAGUGCAAGCCAAAUAUUCAUAACUAUUACAUCCUUAAAUCACACUUUAUGCCUGCUUGUAUCAGUACAAGCAGUAAGAAAAACUGUGCAUCUCAGCCUCAGCCCCAGCAAGAUUAAAUAUACUGCAAACAAGAUUAAACACGUUGUAUACCUCAGGGAGAAAAAGAAGUGUGGAGAGGUGGAAAUCAAUGCACAGCGGAGUUUCAUGCUGAUUAAAUUUCCGCUGAACUGGCUUUGAUGGUCCAGGUGAGGACCUGUACUUUAGGUAUCAAAACUACUUCUUUCUAGUGACAACUUGAAGUCAACUCCACUAAUAGGCGCUUCCAGUCUAAAAAACCUUGAAGGCAGUUUUUCUGCUCACGGGAAGCAAAACUGCUAAUUUCAUAAAAUCUUAACCACAUUAGGAAAUAAUUAGAA